rnacentral:rRNA from 1 species
AUUGAACGCUGGCGGCAGGCCUAACACAUGCAAGUCGAACGAGUGGCGGACGGGUGAGUAAUGUCUGGGAAACUGCCCGAUGGAGGGGGAUAACUACUGGAAACGGUAGCUAAUACCGCAUACCAUCAGAUGUGCCCAGAUGGGAUGAGCUAGUAGGUGGGGUAACGGCUCACCUAGGCGACUAUCCCUAGCUGGUCUGAGAGGAUGACCACCAACACUGGAACUUAGACACGGUCCAGACGCCUACGGUAGGCAGCAGUGGGGAAUAUUGCACAAUGGGAGCAAGCCUGAUGCAGCCAUGCCGCGGGUAUGAAGAAGGCCUUCGGGUUGUAAAGUACUUUCAGCGAGGAGGCGUUACUCGCAGAAGAAGCACCGGCUAACUCCGUGCCAGCCGGCGCGGUAAUAC